AGCAGCCGCGGUAAUUCCAGCUCCAAUAGCGUAUAUUAAAGUUGUUGCAGUUAAAAAGCUCGUAGUUGAAUUUCGGGGUUAGUAGGUUGGUCAUGCCUCUGGUAUGUACUGGUCUCACUGACUCCUCCUUCCUGAUGAGCCGUAAUGCCAUUAAUUUGGUGUUGCGGGGAAUUUGGACUGUUACUUUGAAAAAAUUUAGAGUGUUUAAAGCAAGCUAACGCUUGAAUACAUUAGCAUGGAAUAAUGAAAUAGGACGUUCGAUCCUAUUUUGUUGGUUUCUAGGAUUGACGUAAUGAUUAAUAGGGAUAGUUGGGGGCAUUAGUAUUCAAUUGUCAGAGGUGAAAUUCUUGGAUUUAUUGAAGACUAACUACUGCGAAAGCAUUUGCCAAGGAUGUUUUCAUUAAUCAAGAACGAAAGUUAGGGGAUCGAAGACGAUCAGAUACCGUCGUAGUCUUAACCAUAAACUAUGCCGACUAGGGAUCGGAUGAUGUUAAUUUUUUAAUGACUCAUUCGGCGCCUU
rnacentral:rRNA from 1 species